AUUGAACGCUGGCGGCAGGCUUAACACAUGCAAGUCGAGCGGAGAUGAGGUGCUUGCACCUUAUCUUAGCGGCGGACGGGUGAGUAAUGCCUAGGAAUCUGCCUGGUAGUGGGGGACAACGUUUCGAAAGGAACGCUAAUACCGCAUACGUCCUACGGGAGAAAGUGGGGGAUCUUCGGACCUCACGCUAUCAGAGGAGCCUAGGUCGGAUUAGCUAGUUGGUGAGGUAAAGGCUCACCAAGGCGACGAUCCGUAACUGGUCUGAGAGGAUGAUCAGUCACACUGGAACUGAGACACGGUCCAGACUCCUACGGGAGGCAGCAGUGGGGAAUAUUGGACAAUGGGCGAAAGCCUGAUCCAGCCAUGCCGCGUGUGUGAAGAAGGUCUUCGGAUUGUAAAGCACUUUAAGUUGGGAGGAAGGGCAGUAAGUUAAUACCUUGCUGUUUUGACGUUACCAACAGAAUAAGCACCGGCUAACUACGUGCCAGCAGCCGCGGUAAAAC
rnacentral:rRNA from 1 species